rnacentral:rRNA from 1 species
AAAUUGAAGAGUUUGAUCAUGGCUCAGAUUGAACGCUGGCGGCAGGCCUAACACAUGCAAGUCGAACGGUAACAGAAAGCAGCUUGCUGCUUUGCUGACGAGUGGCGGACGGGUGAGUAAUGUCUGGGAAACUGCCUGAUGGAGGGGGAUAACUACUGGAAACGGUAGCUAAUACCGCAUAACGUCGCAAGACCAAAGAGGGGGACCUUCGGGCCUCUUGCCAUCGGAUGUGCCCAGAUGGGAUUAGCUAGUAGGUGGGGUAACGGCUCACCUAGGCGACGAUCCCUAGCUGGUCU